rnacentral:rRNA from 1 species
GUGGGGAAUUUUGCGCAAUGGGCGAAAGCCUGACGCAGCAACGCCGCGUGGAGGAUGAAGGCCUUCGGGUCGUAAACUCCUGUCAGGGGGGACGAAAUCCUCGAAAGAGGUCUGACUGUACCCCCGGAGGAAGCCACGGCCAACUCCGUGCCAGCAGCCGCGGUAAUACGGAGGUGGCAAGCGUUGUUCGGAAUUACUGGGCGUAAAGGGCGCGUAGGCGGCUUGGCAAGUCAGAUGUGAAAGCCCCGGGCUUAACUCGGGAAUUGCAUCUGAAACUGCUUUGCUUGAGUCCUGGAGGGGGCAGUGGAAUUCCCAGUGUAGCGGUGAAAUGCGUAGAUAUUGGGAGGAACACCGGCGGCGAAGGCGGCUGCCUGGACAGUGACUGACGCUGAUGCGCGAAAGCUAGGGUAGCAAACGGGAUUAGAAACCCCAGUAGUCC